GGAAAAUUCUAGCGUGAGGCCAGUAAAAUGACCUCUUUGGUGAGAUCGCCACUGUGGCCAAUAGAAAAGUAAGUGGACUUAUUCAACUGCCACAUAGGAUAAUACAAUGCAUGUCACUUACCAUGCAUCUCCACAUCUAUUAAAAUUGCAAAUAAGUCCCUACCAUUAAAAUUGUUACAUAAAUUAUCUCAACAUUUAUGUAAGUUACAUCAACAUUAAUAUUGUUUUAUUAAUUAUAAUGAUGUUGUAAAAAUCAAAUUAUCAAAACGCAAAUUAUAAAGAAAAUAUUCAUCUUCUU
rnacentral:lncRNA from 1 species